UAGAAUAUUGACUAGAUAGGUUCUAAUGGGAAUCAGCCAUUGGAGGUAACGGGGAAAAGCGGUGAAAAUCCGUUACUGUCCCGCAGCUGUGAAGUAUCGAUAUUCUUCGAUAUCAGUCAGAAUGCCCGCCUUAUUGCACAAUUCGAC
rnacentral:ncRNA from 2 species